GUGCUCACCAUGGCAGCACAGACAUUAAAAUUGGAAAGAUGCAGAGAUUAGCAGGGCCCCUGCACAAGGAUGACACGCAAACUCAUGAGGUAUUCCAUAUUUUU